UGGGAGAGAUGUUUCUAGUUGAUAAAGCUA
rnacentral:piRNA from 1 species